UCCUGUUGGAAGAUCUUUCUUUUCCCCUGAUAUCCGGAAACCUCAGCCUCUUGGCGAUGGUUUAGAAGCAUGGUGUGGAUUCUACCAGAGUAUCAGACCUACCCAAAUGGGCUUGUCCCUUAAUAUUGGUAAUUUAUUGUUAACAAAUAUUCAGAUUAAAUAUGAUCAAAUCUAUUUUCUGGCAAGUAAAGAAUUCUACCAGAGUAUCAGACCUACCCAAAUGGGCUUGUCCCUUAAUAUUGGUAAUUUAUUGUUAACAAAUAUUCAGAUUAAAUAUGAUCAAAUCUAUUUUCUGGCAAGUAAAGAAUUAUGAUACGGUGUGAUUAUUGUUAAUGUAGUUAGUUAUUCCUAACUGUGUUUGAUGUUCG
rnacentral:lncRNA from 1 species